GGUAAAAAGCUCGUAGUUGGAUUUCUGUUGAGGACGACCGGUCCACACCACGUGUGCGCAUCUGACUCGGCCUCGGCAAUCCUCCAAAAUAACGUUUCUGCGCUUGAUUGCGUGGAGCGGGGUUUGGACUUUUACUUUGAGGAAAUUAGAGUGUUCACGGCAGGCUAUCGCCCGAAUACAUUAGCAUGGAAUAAUACUAUAGGAUCACGAUUCCAUUUUGUUGGUUUCUAGGAUCGAGAUAAUGAUUAAUAGGGACAGUUGGGGGCAUUCGUAUCAACACGUCAGAGGUGGAAUUCUUGGAUUGUGUUGCGACGAACUACUGCGAAAGCAUUUGCCAAGGAUGUUUUCAUUGAUCAAGAACGAAAGUAAGGGGAUCGAAGACGAUUAGAUACCGUCGUAGUCUUUACCAUAAACUAUGUCACCUAGAGAUCGGGCAUCGUUCAUUUACGACUUGCUCGGCACCUUAUGAGAUAUCAAAGGCUUUGGAUUCCGGGGGGAGUAUGGUC
rnacentral:rRNA from 1 species